GACAGAGGGUGCAAACGUUGUUCGGAAUUACUGGGCGUAAAGCGCGCGUAGGCGGCUUUGUAAGUUAGAGGUGAAAGCCCGGAGCUCAACUCCGGAACUGCCUUUAAAACUGCAUCGCUUGAAUCCAGGAGAGGUGAGUGGAAUUCCGAGUGUAGAGGUGAAAUUCGUAGAUAUUCGGAAGAACACCAGUGGCGAAGGCGGCUCACUGGACUGGUAUUGACGCUGAGGUGCGAAAGCGUGGGGAGCAAACAGG
rnacentral:rRNA from 1 species